GUAAUUUAGAAGUUUAAGAGAUUAUCUAAUCAAUAAUCAAACCAAGAUCGUGGGAGAAAAAAAAGUAAACUAUUUCCAUUGAUUGGAGAUUCCAGAACUCGGGGCAUCGUCUGACAAUGAGGGCAAGACCCUUCAGAUGAGAUGCUAUGAAGCAUUUCUACACACAAAGGCAUUAAGAUCAAAAUGCACACAUGGAAAUUCUGCACAGUCAUGAUACUGACAGCAAAGACACAACGCACGUGAUCACUGAGGACGAAAAUCCAGUUCCGCAGGCAAAUAAACACCACGGAAAUGGCAGAAACGACUGUGCAGCUGAACAAAGAGGGAAAUGAUAUGACUGCUACAUUAUGCUGUAAGGACAAUUGCAAUGACAUUAAACCCACGGCUGAAACGAAUGCAGAAUCAUCUCAACAACUACAUCCAAGUGGAGUACAUGAAAACAGCAAAAUUGUUUC